GCGCCUAUAGCUCAGUUGGUAGAGCAGCUCCCUUUUAAGGAGAUGGUCGCAGGUUCGAAUCCUGCUGGGCGCA
rnacentral:tRNA from 1 species